rnacentral:tRNA from 1 species
GGGGCCGAGUAGGUGGCAAGCUGUAGCCUUGUUUACGGGGCCGCUGCCCCCCCC